AUGAAACACUCCUACGGGAGGCAGCAGUGGGGAAUAUUGCACAAUGGGCGCAAGCCUGAUGCAGCCAUGCCGCGUGUAUGAAGAAGGCCUUCGGGUUGUAAAGUACUUUCAGCGGGGAGGAAGGCGAUAAGGUUAAUAACCUUGUCGAUUGACGUUACCCGCAGAAGAAGCACCGGCUAACUCCGUGCCAGCAGCCGCGGUAAUACGGAGGGUGCAAGCGUUAAUCGGAAUUACUGGGCGUAAAGCGCACGCAGGCGGUCUGUUAAGUCAGAUGUGAAAUCCCCGGGCUUAACCUGGGAACUGCAUUUGAAACUGGCAGGCUUGAGUCUCGUAGAGGGGGGUAGAAUUCCAGGUGUAGCGGUGAAAUGCGUAGAGAUCUGGAGGAAUACCGGUGGCGAAGGCGGCCCCCUGGACGAAGACUGACGCUCAGGUGCGAAAGCGUGGGGAGCAAACAGGAUUAGAAACCCUAGUAGUCCGAAGUUC
rnacentral:rRNA from 1 species